AAUAGUUUAUAAAAAGGUACCUUAAGGGAAUGCUAAAAGCAUACAAUAGUGAAAAAGGUUUUGCUCUGGUAAACAUUGAAGUGAGAGGAUACAUGAAAAGAUCUGAGAACUUGAAGCAGCAGCAAAUAAUAGAGUUGGAAAAGGGAAAUAUCUACUAAAAGGAUGUUGACGAAGGUCUAUCAGAGCUUGAAAGAUUGAAACUUUUGUCUGCAAACCCUGCUCUUGUCGCAAUGAUGUUGAACCAACCUGACUUGUAUCUUUCAAUGAGAACAUGAUCAAUUUAUCAUAUGCGAAGAUAAAGCAUCACUGUCCUUCAACAUUACCGGAAGUGUGACAAGGUUUACAACAACAACAACAUACUAGGGAGGUGGGGCAGUCCUAUGAUCCCACAAGUGUGACAAGGUCAUUGCAUGCUGGCAAGGAAUUGACAGCAUGGUUGUUAUCUCUGAGGAAAAAAACUGAUGCC